rnacentral:rRNA from 1 species
UCUGUAGGCGGUGCGGCAAGUCGGAAGUGAAAUCUCAGGGCUCAACUCUGAGUCUGCUUUCGAAACUGCCGUGCUGGAGUGCGGGAGAGGUGAGUGGAAUUGCAGGUGUAGCGGUGAAAUGCGUAGAUAUCUGCAGGAACACCAGAGGCGAAGGCGGCUCACUGGACCGCAACUGACGCUGAGAGACGAAAGCUAGGGGAGCAAACAGGAUUAGAUACCCUGGUAGUCCUAGCCCUAAACCAUCAGGACUUGGCGUGGGUCCCGUUCGGGGCCCGUGUCGGAGCUAACGUGUGAAGUCCUGCGCCUGGGGAGUACGGCCGCAAGGCUGA